AUGCUUAACACAUGCAAGUCGAACGGAAACAGGAAUAGCUUGCUAUUUGCUGUCGAGUGGCGGACGGGUGAGUAAUGCUUGGGAAUAUGCCAAAACGUGGGGGACAACAGUUGGAAACGACUGCUAAUACCGCAUAAUGUCUUCGGACCAAAGCAGGGGACCUUCGGGCCUUGCGCGUUUUGAUUAGCCCAAGUGGGAUUAGCUAGUUGGUAAGGUAAUGGCUUACCAAGGCGACGAUCCCUAGCUGGUCUUAGAGGAUGACCAGCCACACUGGAACUGAGACACGGUCCAGACUCCUACGGGAGGCAGCAGUGGGGAAUAUUGCACAAUGGAGGAAACUCUGAUGCAGCCAUGCCGCGUGUGUGAAGAAGGCUUUCGGGUUGUAAAGCACUUUCAGUGGGGAGGAAAGGGUGUUGCUUAAUAAGUAACAUCUGUGACGUUACCCACAGAAGAAGCACCGGCUAACUCCGUGCCAGCAGCCGCGGUAAUACGGAGGGUGCGAGCGUUAAUCGGAAUUACUGGGCGUAAAGCGCGCGUAGGUGGUUAAUUAAGUCAGAUGUGAAAGCCCAGGGCUCAACCUUGGAACUGCAUUUGAAACUGGUUAACUAGAGUUUUGUAGGGGGUGGUAGAAUUUCAGGUGUAGCGGUGAAAUGCGUAGAGAUCUGAAGGAACACCAGUGG
rnacentral:rRNA from 1 species